rnacentral:rRNA from 1 species
AGUCGUAACAAGGUUUCCGUAGGUGAACCUGCGGAAGGAUCAUUGUCGAAACCUGCCAAGCAGAAAGACCAGCGAACAUGUCAUAACACAAUGCUUGGGGAAGGGUUGCUUGUACUUCUUGCUGUCUUCCCCAUGCCAGGCGUGAUCCUUUGGGGUUGCGACUGGGCACCAUAACAAAACCCCGGCGUGUUAAACGCCAAGGAACAUCAACAAUAGAUUGCGUAAUCCUUUGCCCGGUUAAUCGGUGCAAGGAUACGAAAUCCAAUGUAAGUCAUGAAACGACUCUCGGCAACGGAUAUCUCGGCUCUCGCAUCGAUGAAGAACGUAGCAAAAUGCGAUACUUGGUGUGAAUUGCAGAAUCCCGUGAACCAUCGAGUUUUUGAACGCAAGUUGCGCCCGAAGCCUUUUGGCCAGGGCACGUCUGCCUGGGCGUCACGCAUACCGUCUCCCCCAACUCAUUGAGCUCGAGUAGGGAGAGGAUGUUGGCUUCCCAUGCAUAUCACCUGGCAUGGUUGGCCUAAAAAUAGAGCCCCUAGCUAUUGGAUGCUGCGGCGUUUGGUGGUAAAAUAAGGUUAUUGUAACCUAUUAAACAUCGCGUCGAGUAAACGGUAGCUAACGUGGCCUUGUUGGMCCCUUACUAAACCUAUGCGACCCCAGGUCAGGCGGGGU